rnacentral:lncRNA from 1 species
CCCAGCUGGCUUUCAGCGCCGGAUUGCGGGAAAGCUCCCUCCUGCCCCGCAGCAGCGCGCCCCGGGAAGCAGACUGCUCUCCAGUUAGUGGUUUCGCUGUCACCGUAUCCGUACCGCCGGGCGAUCCAAAAACCCUCCCACCAGGACAGGGAAGGCUCAUUUUCCCUGGCUGGAGACAGAGCUCUCGGCACCGGCUCUCUGAUUUGUCGCCCCGGCCCCGGAGGGGGCACGGUGUGGUCAGCCCGGGAGCCCGCUAACAAAAGGGGGACCCCAGAGGGAAGGAGACCGAGGAGCUGGUCGCGGCGGGGGGAGCGCGGCGCAGGGGCGGGGGUCUCAUGGCUGCCGGCGGCGAGUGAGGAGCGGGCAGAGUGCGGGGGCUGCGCCGGGGGCAGAGAGCCCAUGGGCGGCCGGGCGAGCCUGGUGCGCCGCGGGAGGGAGCUGCCCCCCCUGCCCCGCCGCCGCUGGGCGCAGGAAGAGGCUGAGGCGACGGUUCAGCCUCAAGAAACAGCUUCAAGGUCCCACAUCUUCAAAAGCAAGUCUUUUAAGAAAUCCAAAAUUUGUGGAAUCUGCAAACAAGUAAUUGAUAGCCAAGGCAUUUCCUGCAGAGCUUGCAAAUAUGCCUGCCACAGGAAAUGUGAAGAAAAGGUAAGCAUAUUUAUUUGCCUCCCUUCUUGCUGUUGAUCCACACAUAUUUGAAGUUGAG